UUAGUUUUAUCCCAGUGCAUGCUGGGAUAGGCUCCAGCUCCCCCAUGGACCCGAACAGAAAUAAGACGGUGUUAAAAACUGACCUCCCUGAGCAUACAGGCAUCCCUGGAGAGCCACACUAACAGGUUUGCUGGCUCCAGCUGUGCCCACGCUGUUGCUGCCAUCCUCUACAUCCCCCACUGGCACUACAGUGAAGUUGGUGGGCAUCUUGGAUCUUCACUUCCCCGUAAGAAAGUAUGAAGAGGUCUCCAGUGACGACAAGUGGGAUGACACUAGCUGCUGAACUUUCACUCCCACGGGGAAAAGGAAAAAAGUGUCUAGAGGGAGUCAAAUGAAAGAAAUAGAGCCCUAUUAGGGCCCCCGUGAGGAUCAUCACCUGGUGAACAUGCUGACUUUUGGUCUGGGACACACGGCCAUCAGGUUAUUAGGUAACCUCCGGACUCAUUCUGGAUCACUCCAGCGUGAAUGGCCGUUCUGCAGAUACUGGAUUUCUGGAUGAAACAGGAUGGACUCGAGACUUGUGGAGUUGGUGAGGACCAUGGCCAGGACGGUCUGGGUCAAGCACAGGAACAAGCUCGCCGCUCUAACCCAGCUCAGUACAGGGAGAGGACUCUUCAUGUGUGAUCCAAGGAUAUUUUCAGCUUCGGUGAUGAUUCUACAAGCAUGUGCUGCCCCCUCUUGGAUGCAGUAAAUAUUUUCAGUCAAAAACAGCUUCAGCCUCGACCAAGCCAUCCAAGCAUCGGUGACCCGAUUAAGACUCUCUCAGGAGAAGAGCAAACAUCCAUUCUAUGUGCGUUUAUAUCUCUGGUAUGUUACACAACAAAUGUGUUUUGUUGAUUUGAAGCUGACAAGACAUCUAGGAAGUAAGGCUGAAACUGGGACGUGUGUUUGAAAAGCUGAAGUAUUUCAUUUAUCUCAUUUGUUUACUUCACUUGUUUAAUCCAUACUCAUAUAUACACAUACAAUACU